rnacentral:tRNA from 1 species
GGAGAGGUGUCUGAGCGGUCUAAGGAGCUUGCUUGGAAAGCAAGUAAGGUUAAUUCCUUCCAGGGUUCGAAUCCCUGUCUCUCCG